rnacentral:rRNA from 1 species
UCCCAAGGGUUGGGCUGUUCGCCCAUUAAAGCGGUACGCGAGCUGGGUUCAGAACGUCGUGAGACAGUUCGGUCCCUAUCUUCCGCGAGCGUAGGAAUCUUGAGGAGAUCUGUCCCUAGUACGAGAGGACCGGGAUGGACGGACCCCUGGUGUUCGGGUUGUCGCGCCAGCGGCACUGCCCGGUAGCCAUGUCCGGAACGGAUAACCGCUGAAAGCAUCUAAGCGGGAAGCCAACUCCAAGAUGAGGAUUCCCUGAAGGUCCGUCGAAGAUGACGACGUUGAUAGGCCGGAUGUGGAAGCGCAGCAAUGCGUGGAGCUAACCGGUACUAAUCGACCGUUCGGUUUGGCC